AAUAAAUUACUAUAAGCAUUUUAUCGGAACACAUGACUAUAUAAAAUUGUUCAUGUUUGACCACGAUGAAGGCGAUCGAUAGAGUUGUGCAAGGUGGUAUGUGCUUGUGGAUAAUUGCUAAAGACUAUCGAUUCAAUGAGCAAUAAUUGAUUUAAAGGUUAACUAUGAAGGGCGGUUGGUGGUGGAGGUGGCCAGCCUA
rnacentral:lncRNA from 1 species